AGGCAAUUAGUAUAAGUAAAACACUUGACUUCGACUCAAAAAUUUGUGGUGAAAAUCCAUAAUUGCCUA
rnacentral:tRNA from 1 species